ACGUGACUUCACGCUCGAGCCGGAAAAGAAGACAAUGCUGAAUAAAGUUGUAAUUCUUGCUAUUUUUGGACCAAACUGUAUUCUCGAUGCUUUAACACAUUCUUACUGACCAACUGAUGUCACAUGGACUACUUUGAUGAUGUUUUUAUUACCUUUCUGGACAUGGAAACCGUACAUAGAUUUUAAAUGGAGGAGACAUAAAGCUCUCGGACUAAAUCUAACGUUAAAACAUCCUAAACUGUUUUCCGAAGAUGAACGGAGGUCUUUUGAGUUUAGAACGACAUAAGGGUAAGUCAUUACUUACAUUAUUUUCAUUUUUGGGCAAACUAUCCUUAUUUAGUAGUCACGCUGUUCCCUUUGCGGGCGGGGAGACACCCCUCGCUGCAGCCUGCAGCGCGAUGACGUAGUGGAUUAAUCCAAUACGUAGUGGAUGUUCAAACACGCAUGCGCAGUGAAUAUAAUGUUACGCGCAUGCGCGGUGCUGUGUUGUUGUUGAUGAACAAUCGCACGUGCUUUGGUAUUUCAAGAAGAAUCUGCCGAAAAACGAAGGAUUAUUUAACAACAGUGAUUGUAUAAAGAUUUGACUGGAUUCGGCAAGAUGCCCUUGCUCAUUAAAGAAGAUGGAGAUGUGGCUUUUAUCAGACUGUUGACAUGCCAGCUUUUUCACUAUGUUGUUAGUAAAGCAUCUUUCAGAGAAAAGGCUCAUGUAGUGUGGCUUGACAGUGUUGUCAACUGGAACACAUUCUCCGGGGUGUAGAGAUUUAUUUACAGACUGUCCACCAGGUCGAGUUGGAGGAAGGGUGUCCCAGGGAUGAAUUGUUCAUCUAUUCUGCAUCAGUAAAGCAGUGGUGGCGUGGCACUGACUUUAAACUAUUUAAGAUCAAACUGUGACAAAAGCUUUACCUGUGCUGACUGCAGUCAGUUAUAUGUGACCCUGCCUGUGAAAAAACAGUAUAAGUCUUGAAAUGCAAUUAUGAUACAAUGAGCAUCAAAGUGUUAUUUUCAUUACUUUCACAUUGAUUUUGACAUUUGACAUGAUUUUACUCAGUCAACCCCACACACCCAGCCAACUUUUUCUUUGAACUUUUGCCCUUUGGCCGGCGCUACAAAGCACUGAACACUAUAAACAACAAUAUGUUCUCAGGUUAUAUACCUAAACAAUUAAAGCACCCAUAACUUCCACACCUGUCAUAACUGUAUAUUGUUUAUAAUCACCACAUACUGUACAUCUGAAACUACCAUUCUAAACUAUGCUACUGUAAAUAUCACCUAUUAUCUAUCUGUACAACAACAGCAUCUGAACAUCCAUACAGGCAUCACUACACACAAUUGUAAAAAAGGAGAAUAUAUAUAUAAAUAUAUAUAUAUAUAUAUAUAUAUAUAUAUAUAUAUAUACAUAUACUUAUAUAUACUUACUGUACCAUGCUGCUUAUUUAAAUUAUUUUUGUUUUUAUAUUACUAGUGUGUUAUUGUCUUUAAUUUAACUUAGUCAUUCUAUUUAUGUCCGUAACAUGUCACCAAGACAAAUUCCUUGUAUCCCAGCUAACA